rnacentral:lncRNA from 1 species
UUGGAAUUACUACAUGAGCGGAAGCGUACCUGAAUCCAUAUGUGGAAAUCCGUAGUCCUCCUUGGAAGAUUGUUUGAAAGCUCCUUAGUCCUUCCUUCAAGAUUAUCUUGAAGUUUUCCCAAGAGUUUCACAAGAAUAUCUCCAAGACCAAAAAAUGGAAAUGGUUUUCCACUUGAUAGCAAACCAAAAUUACUCUCUAGUUUAAAUGGGAGGAAGAAGAGAAUUGGAUGCUUCAAAUGGGAACCAUAACCCUUCUUUUAUAAGCAUGUAACCAUAGUUAGCCCAUUAUUAACUAUGGUUACUCUUUAAGUAACUAUGGUUACUUUUAUGGGUAUCUACACAUAAAUUAGUCUUACACUCUAUAUGACAAUAUAUUGGCCUCCUUAAUAAUGUCCAUAAGACCACUAAAUUAGGCCAAACCAAAAGAUAGUACAUAACAUAUAAUUAAUCUAUAUAUUGUUCAUAUGUAUGUAGAUAUAAGUCCAUAUAUCUUACAUGUUUGUAUCGAAACACAUGGUUAUUAAUUGGUGCUCAUCUCUGUUUGAUGCUUAAAUUUUGCUUAUAAUAGUAAUGCAUUUUCUGGAAAUCCAUGUUGAUUAAUACCUGUCAGACAAAUAGGAACUGGAAUAGGCAUGGAUAUAUGUGUUUGGAUUGGUUUUAAAUUUGUACUACUAGUGAGGACCAGCGAUUUUAUUCUUGCGUGUUGGUGAGUUUAAGACUAGGGUCUUCUUUGAAAAAUAUGAAAUCCAGUAUGGUUGUAC